rnacentral:rRNA from 1 species
GUUUGAUCCUGGCUCAGGACGAACGCUGGCGGCGUGCCUAAUGCAUGCAAGUCGCACGCACUCGCUUCGGCGGGUGAGUGGCGCACGGCUGAGUAACACGUGGGAACCCGCCCCCCGGUGGGGGAUAACGCGACGAAAGUCGCGCUAAUCCCGCAUACGUCCGCAGGGGGAAAGCGCUUCGGCGCGCCGGGGGAGGGGCCUGCGGCCCAUCAGGUCGUUGGUGGGGUAACGGCCUACCAAGCCGAUGACGGGUAGCUGGUCUGGGAGGAUGACCAGCCAGACUGGGACUGGGACACGGCCCAGACUCCUACGGGAGGCAGCAGCAAGGAAUUUUCGGCAAUGGGCGCAAGCCUGACCGAGCAACGCCGCGUGCGGGAUGACGGCCUUCGGGUUGUAAACCGCUUUUCGGGGGGACGAUGAUGACGGUACCCCCGGAACAAGCCCCGGCUAACUCUGUGCCAGCAGCCGCGGUAAGACAGAGGGGGCGAGCGUUGUCCGGAGUCACUGGGCGUAAAGCGCGCGCAGGCGGUCGCCAAAGUGUCGUGUGAAAGCCCCCGGCUCAACCGGGGGAGGCCAUGGCAAACUCGGCGACUGGAGCGGCGGAGAGGCCCCUCGAAUUGCCGGUGUAGCGGUGAAAUGCGUAGAGAUCGGCAGGAAGACCAAGGGGGAAGCCAGGGGGCUGGCCGCUGGCUGACGCUGAGGCGCGACAGCGUGGGGAGCGAACCGGAUUAGAUACCCGGGUAGUCCACGCCGUAAACAAUGACCACUCGGCGUGCGGCGACUAUUGACGUCGCGGUGCGCCUUAGCUCACGCGCUAAGUGGUCCGCCUGGGAACUACGAGCGCAAGCUUAAAACUCAAGGAAUUGA